CAAACAAGAGGUACUCAAUCUCGAAGUGCUUUAUAUAUAUAUUUUUGUAUAUAUAGAAUGAAAUGAAAUGUAUAAAAUGGAGCACUAAUCUUAAUACACUUGAUUAAUUAGGAAAAUGGCUGCCACUUUGUUUCUGGCUUUUCUUUGUUUUUCUCAAGUUAUCUACUUGGAAGCCAUCCCAAUUACAAGAUGCAAUAGUUUGGUGUACAAAACUCAAUAACAGGAGAACACACAAAUAAUGGAGAAUAUGGAGGUUGAGUGUAUGAAACUAGGUGAUGUUGUCAUUAGAAGAAUGGAUACUGAGGUCAAUGACUAUCCAGGUUCGGGUGCGAAUAAUCGCCACACUCCGGGCCACCCCUAGAGAUAUGAUGAAUGUAUUUAGAGGCGAAUUUGGGAUGUUAAUGUGUUUAAAAUUUAUAUAUAUAUAUACAUACUAUAUGUAUGCAUAUAUAGUUCGAGCUGAGAGCAAUGGUUUCACCAUAAUCCAAGCUCAGGCUAAAUAUGUUGAGUGUGUUAGUAAUAAGUAGUGAUAGAUAUGUGUGCUUUAGAUGUUUAAGAGUAUUGUGUUAUUGUGUAAAGCUAAUAGUUAAAUUGCUUCA